rnacentral:lncRNA from 1 species
AGGAAUGAUGGGUAGUGAAGGAGGGUCAAGAGAGGCAGUGAAGGGAUUGGAAGUGGUGGUAGAGGGGGGGGGGGGAUAAGAUUGGUGAGGAUCGAGAUCGUUUUAACGGUGGCCUGGUUGGAUGAUUUGGGGUGGAGAAAAUCUCAGAACUAGUCGAGGGAAAGGCAGGAAGAGAGGGUAGAGGGAGAAAGUUAAGGUCAUGGGGUUCAGGUGAUUUCAGAAGAUGAGAUUUUUGAGAGGUGAGGGGGAUAUGUUUAGUAACUGAUAGAGAAGGGUCUCUGGUGAGGGGUUGAUAUUUUUUCUGGUUUUUUCGAGAGGCUUUUGAUGGGGUGAAAGUAGACUGGGUGGGAUUGUCCUUUCUAGAGCUAUCUUUGCUCGUGGAAGGGUCUUUUUGUUUAGUGGGUGAGGCAGUUUCUUUUGUUGGUGCAGGAGGAGUGUAGGUGAGGCAAUUACGCGUGAUGCGUGCCCAAGCUCAUGGCAGUGGGCGCAAGUUGGAGGGACCCAUG